AGUCGAGCGAACGGACGAGAAGCUUGCUUCUCUGAUGUUAGCGGCGGACGGGUGAGUAACACGUGGAUAACCUACCUAUAAGACUGGGAUAACUUCGGGAAACCGGAGCUAAUACCGGAUAAUAUUUUGAACCGCAUGGUUCAAAAGUGAAAGACGGUCUUGCUGUCACUUAUAGAUGGAUCCGCGCUGCAUUAGCUAGUUGGUAAGGUAACGGCUUACCAAGGCAACGAUGCAUAGCCGACCUGAGAGGGUGAUCGGCCACACUGGAACUGAGACACGGUCCAGACUCCUACGGGAGGCAGCAGUAGGGAAUCUUCCGCAAUGGGCGAAAGCCUGACGGAGCAACGCCGCGUGAGUGAUGAAGGUCUUCGGAUCGUAAAACUCUGUUAUUAGGGAAGAACAUAUGUGUAAGUAACUGUGCACAUCUUGACGGUACCUAAUCAGAAAGCCACGGCUAACUACGUGCCAGCAGCCGCGGUAAUACGUAGGUGGCAAGCGUUAUCCGGAAUUAUUGGGCGUAAAGCGCGCGUAGGCGGUUUUUUAAGUCUGAUGUGAAAGCCCACGGCUCAACCGUGGAGGGUCAUUGGAAACUGGAAAACUUGAGUGCAGAAGAGGAAAGUGGAAUUCCAUGUGUAGCGGUGAAAUGCGCAGAGAUAUGGAGGAACACCAGUGGCGAAGGCGACUUUCUGG
rnacentral:rRNA from 1 species